GACGAACGCUGGCGGCGUGCUUAACACAUGCAAGUCGAACGAAGAGCGAUGGAAGCUUGCUUCUAUCAAUCUUAGUGGCGAACGGGUGAGUAACGCGUAAUCAACCUGCCCUUCAGAGGGGGACAACAGUUGGAAACGACUGCUAAUACCGCAUACGAUCCAAUCUCGGCAUCGGGACUGGAUGAAAGGUGGCCUCUAUUUAUAAGCUAUCACUGAAGGAGGGGAUUGCGUCUGAUUAGCUAGUUGGAGGGGUAACGGCCCACCAAGGCGAUGCUCAGUAGCCGGUCUGAGAGGAUGAACGGCCACAUUGGGACUGAGACACGGCCCAGACUCCUACGGGAGGCAGCAGUGGGGAAUCUUCCGCAAUGGACGAAAGUCUGACGGAGCAACGCCGCGUGAGUGAUGACGGCCUUCGGGUUGUAAAGCUCUGUUAAUCGGGACGAAUGGUUCUUGUGCGAAUAGUGCGAGGAUUUGACGGUACCGGAAGAGAAAGCCACGGCUAACUACGUG
rnacentral:rRNA from 1 species